UGUUGAGACUGGGAGGUAAUGUCCCGAGUCGGAACGGGCCCGCGAGGGUCAUCGGGUCCAGCUCUUGCACGAAGCACCUCAAAAGUUACACCAUGUGCCUGAGUCCAUUGUUCCAAUGCGUCUCCAACUCUCGUUAGGCUUAGUGUUGUGACCACUUCCGGGGAGAGCUCGUUCCAGUGCCUAACCACCUUCUGGUUGGAAAGCCUUUUCCUAAAAGCCAGCCUAAACCUCUUCUGACACCACUUCAGGCCGUUCCCUCCAGUCCUGUCACUGGACGCUGUAGAGAAGAGAUCAGUGCGUGACUUUGCCCUUUCUCUCAUGAGGAAAUUGUGAACUGCAACGAGGUCUCUCCUCAGUGUCCUCCAAGAUGAAAAGUGCCUUUACAAAAGCCAGCUAAUUAGUUGCUGAUGACACAAAAGUGGAGGAGUGGCUGAUACUACAGUGGGUCAUGCUGCCAUGAAGAAGGACUUCAACAGGCUGGAGAAAUGAGCCAAGGAGAGCCCAGAAAAGUUCACCAAGGGAAAUUGUUCCAAUUAAUUUCAGUUUGCGUUUUAUGUUUUCAAAGGCCAUGGCUGCCCGACUGUUCUUCGGUGUGGUGCGAAACAUCAUCAUCCAGUACCCGCAGAUGGUCAAUAGGGAGCUGGAUGAGGCCACACGCCUGUUCAGGUGGUGAGAAGGUGCUGUAAGGUCUCUCUGGAGCCUCUCCAGGUUGAACAACCCCAGAUCUCGCAGCCUGACUUCAUAGAAGAGGUGUUCCAGCCCUGUAAAACUUAGUGGCCCUCCUCUGGACUCAUUCCAACAGGUCCAUGCCUUUCUUGUGUUAGGGGCCCCAGACCUGGACAUAAGUACUCCAGGUGGGGGUUGCCACAGUGGUGUUGAUGGCAGGGUGCCGUGACUACCCUGAAGAAGCUGUCCUGAAAAGGACUGCCCGGGGGCACUGGCAUGUCCCUUGCCCAGCAAGUGAUCUCAGCUCAGCAGCAGCUCGCAGGCAAUGUGGAGAGAGAGACAAAAGUGCUGUGUGGCAUUCUACAGAGAAACAGCUUUCAUUAAAGCAGGGCCCUCUGUGAAAGGAGCCAGUGGCACCUCUACUCCAAACUGGGGAAAAAAACUGGGGUUUAUAUAGGGGAGGAGAGAGGAGGGGGAAACAUGGAUACAUGUAUCAGGGUGGAUUGAUGGGGAGGAAAACCAAUGGGGUGCAACAAAUUAACAUGCUUAACUCAAGAAAUUCUGGGAGCGACACUUGUCUCUCUGUGAGAGCGAAGUGCCUCGCCUGGGGAGAAGCUCUCCAAGGGAGAGCCAAGGUAUCUUAGUUGGGGGAUACUUCAGCCCCCACAGGGGUCUCAUGAGAGUGGAGUACAGGGGAAGAAUCACCUCCCUUGACCUGCUGGCCACACUUUUUUUGAUGGAGCCCAAGACACAGCUGGGCUUUCUGGGCUGUGAGUGCACACUGCUGAGACAUGUCAGGCUUUUUGUCCUUUCUCAGCCCAGCCCAUACCUGUGCUUGGGAUUGCUCUUACCUGGGUGCAGGACCUUGCGCUUGGCCUUGUUGAACUUCAGGAAGUUUGCAUGGGCCCACCUUUCAAGCCUAUCGAGGUCCCUCUGGGUGGUAUCCCUCCUGUCCAGCAUGUUACCACACCACAUAGCUUGGUGCUGUCAGUAAACUUGCUGAGGGUACACUCGAUCCUACUAUCCACGUCACCAACCAAGAUGUUAAACUGACUGGUCCCAAUACUGGUAUCUGUGGCUACGUAAAGACCAUUCAGCCCUAACACUAAUAAACAAAAUAAAGUCA